rnacentral:lncRNA from 12 species
UGCGCGGUGGCGAUUAAGCCACGUGCAUUGGUAGACGCGCUCCCUGGGGGAGGGGGGCUGGGUGCAGGGGCGGGGUGGGCGCGCGGAGCAGCGCAGGCGGGCGCCUGGGUGCAGGGGCGGGGGGAGGCGCCGCCGCCCGCAGGUGGGGGGCUGGGCGGGGGCGCAGGAGGGCGGCCCGGGGCUGCGGGGCUGCGCGUGUCCUGGAGCCCGUCCCCGGGGCGGAGAAGGGCGAGGCCUCGCUGGCUGCGACAGGAGGGCCGCGGGGGCAGAUCUUUCAAGAUCUCGGACCGCGGCCUCCUCCCGCCACCAGCUUCCCUGCGCGCCCACGGGCGUCUCCGCUGCGGGUGGGGCGUAGAACGAGGAGGGCGGGUGGGGGGCGCGCCCCGUCUGUGCCCCGUGCCUUCGGCGAAAAAAGUCGGUGCGCGAGGAGGAAAGCCGGCGCGGCUGCAAAGAGGCGCACGACUUGUUGAGCACACACGUCACGUCCCCUCCGUCUCCGAGGGAGGCUGUGCCCGCGUCCCGGCAGCCUGGGCUCAGCGGCGGGAGCGGAGGGAGGCCUGGGCCUGCGGGGUCCGCCGCGGCGGGUGGGCGCCCGGGGAGGUGCCGGGGCCCCGCCCCCGCCGCGCAUCUGUCUCUUUAAAUUCCAGCUGCGCGGCUGCGAAACAGCGCCCCUCGGCGGGCGGGCCGGCUGCGAGCUCGCUCCCGCGCUCGUUCCCGCGCUCGUUCUCGUUCCCGCGCUCGCUCUCGCGCUCUUUCCCGCGCUCGCUCCCGCUCUCCUUCUCGUUCCCGCGCUCGCUCCCGCUCUCGCGCUCGUUCCCGCGCUCGCUCUCCCGCUCGUUCCCGCUCUCGCGCUGGUUCCCCCGCUCGCUCCCGCUCUCGCGCUCGUUCCCGCGCUUGCUCUCGCGCUCGUUCCCGCGCCCGCGCCCGCUCCCGGCGGCGCGCCGCGGAGGGCUGCUGGUCCGGCGGGCUGCUCGGCGGCGGCGGCGGCGGGCGGGGCGGCGGCGGCGGCGGCGGCGGCGGCAGGAGGCGCGGCCCGGCCCACGAGGGAAGAAAGAGCGAGCCGGGCCGGGAGACGCGCCGCACCCGGUCCCGCGCCCGCGCUCGGCGGCGCCGGCAGCUCCCUCCGGGGCGACGACGAUGAGCCCGGGCUGCGGGCUUUUUUUUUUUUUUUUCCCCUUUCUUUUUUUCCCCCCCCUUCCUCCUCGAGGCGAUGUCCGUCGUGAGCCGACCGCGGGGCUGAGGACGGCGACCCCGAGGACCUCCGCCAGAGACCUGAGAUGUCUGCAAACAAAGGAUAAGUCAGGACGGCUCGUUUAG